GUACUGGCCCACCAAGAGCAGCUU
rnacentral:siRNA from 1 species